AGCAGCCGCGGUAAUUCCAGCUCCAAUAGCGUAUAUUAAAGUUGUUGCAGUUAAAAAGCUCGUAGUUGAAUUUCGGGGUUAGUAGGUUGGUCAUGCCUCUGGUAUGUACUGGUCUCACUGAUUCCUCCUUCCUGAUGAGCCGUAAUGCCAUUAAUUUGGUGUUGCGGGGAAUUUGGACUGUUACUUUGAAAAAAUUAGAGUGUUUAAAGCAAGCUAACGCUUGAAUACAUUAGCAUGGAAUAAUGAAAUAGGACGUUCGAUCCUAUUUUGUUGGUUUCUAGGAUUGACGUAAUGAUUAAUAGGGAUAGUUGGGGGCAUUAGUAUUCAAUUGUCAGAGGUGAAAUUCUUGGAUUUAUUGAAGACUAACUACUGCGAAAGCAUUUGCCAAGGAUGUUUUCAUUAAUCAAGAACGAAAGUUAGGGGAUCGAAGACGAUCAGAUACCGUCGUAGUCUUAACCAUAAACUAUGCC
rnacentral:rRNA from 1 species